CUUAAAUUGAAGAGUUUGAUCAUGGCUCAGAUUGAACGCUGGCGGCAGGCCUAACACAUGCAAGUCGAGCGGAAACGACAACAUUGAAUCUUCGGAGGAUUUGUUGGGCGUCGAGCGGCGGACGG
rnacentral:rRNA from 1 species